GAUGAACGCUAGCGGCAGGCCUAACACAUGCAAGUCGAGGGAGAAGCCCUUUCGGGGGCAGAAACCGGCGCACGGGUGCGUAACGCGUAUGCAACCUACCUUUCACAGGGGGAUAGCCCGAAGAAAUUUGGAUUAAUACCCCAUAAUAUUAUUGGAUGGCAUCAUUUGAUAAUUAAAACUGCGGUGGUGAAAGAUGGGCAUGCGUCCUAUUAGCUAGUUGGAGUGGUAACGGCACCCCAAGGCUACGAUAGGUAGGGGUCCUGAGAGGGAGAUCCCCCACACUGGUACUGAGACAGGGACCAGACUCCUACGGGAGGCAGCAGUGAGGAAUAUUGAUCAAUAGUCGGAAGACUGAACCAGCCAUGCCGCGUGCAGGAAGAAUGCCUUAUGGGUUGUAAACUGCUUUUAUAUGGGAAGAAUAAGGUGUACGUGUACAUUGAUGACGGUACCAUAUGAAUAAGCAUCGGCUAACUCCGUG
rnacentral:rRNA from 1 species